GGACUACCGGGGUUUCUAAUCCCGUUUGCUCCCCUAGCUUUCGCACCUGAGCGUCAGGGACUUCCCAGAAGGCUGCCUUCGCCAGCGGUGUUCCUCCGGAUCUCUACGCAUUUCACCACUCCACCCGGAAUUCCGCCUUCCUCUGAAGUCCUCAAGUCGCCCCGUUUUCGAAGGCCUUGUCCAGUUAAGCCGGACACUGUCACUCCGAACGCGGACGACCGCCUGCGUGCGCUUUACGCCCAGUAACUCCGGACAACGCUUGCCCCCUACGUAUUACCGCGGCUGCUGGCAC
rnacentral:rRNA from 1 species